rnacentral:rRNA from 1 species
CCAUCCGGUAGUAGGGGGGUACCGCCCACCUAGCCUACGACGGGUACGGGCCCUGAGAGGGGGAGCCCGGAGAUGGGCACUGAGACAAGGGUCUAGGCCCUAAGGGGCGCAGCAGGCGCGAAGAUUCCGCAAUGCCCGAAAGGGCGACGGAGUGAACCCGAGUGCCACCCGCUGAGGGUGGCUGUUCCCCUGUGUAAAAAGCGGGGGGCAGGAAGGGGAGGGCAAGGCUGGUGGCAGCCGCCGCGGUAAAACCAGCUCCCCGAGGGGUUCCCACGCAUACUGGGCCUAAAGCGUCCGUAGCCGGCCCUGUAAGUCUGCAGUUAAAUCCGCCUGUAGACAGGCGGGUUGCUGCAGAUACUGCAGGGCUAGGGAGCGGGAGGAGCCGGGGGUAUUCCCGGGGGAGCGGUAAAAUGCGUAGAUCCCGGGAGGACCACCAGUGGCGAAGGCGCCCGGCUUGAACGCGUCCGACGGUGAGGGACGAAAGCUGGGGGAGCAAACCGGAUUAGAUACCCGGGUAGUCCCAGCCGUAAACGAUGCCGGCUAGGUGCUGGCCAAGGUUUCGGCCUUGGCCAGUGUCGAAGCGAAGGCAUUAAGCCGGCCGCCUGAGGAGUACGGCCGCAAGGCUGAAACUUGAAGGAAUUGACGGGGGGGCACCACAAGGGGUGAAUGCCUGCGGCUUAAUUGGACUCAACGCCGGGAAUCUUACCGGGGGCGACAGCAGGAUGAAGGUCAGGCUGAAGACCUUACCAGACGCGCUGAGGGGUGGUGCAUGGCCGUCGCCAGCUCGUGCCGUGAGGUGUCCUGUUAAGUCAGGCAACGAGCGAGACCCCCGCCCCUAGUUGCCAGCAGCCUCCUUCGGGAGGGACCGGGCAAACUAGGGGGACCGCCUCCGAAGAGGAGGAGGAAGGUGGGGGCUACGGCAGGUCAGUAUGCCCCUAAUCCCCCGGGCCGCACGG